rnacentral:tRNA from 1 species
GCCGGAGUGAUGAAAUGGCAGACAUUACGGACUCAAAAUCCGUUGGGCCGAAAGGUCCGUGAGGGUUCGAAUCCCUCCUCCGGCACCG